CGGCGCCCUUGGGGGCGGCCCUUGUGCGUCAUGACGUCACCUGGAAUUUCUUCGCUUAACAAUUGGAGUGCUAGUGGGUUGUAACCUGGUGCGAAGAAGAGCCGCAAGUACAGUUGAUUUAUUUUAAAAAGAAGCGAAAAAAUGAAGAAAAAAGCUGGCUCCCUGUCAGGCUCAUGUCAAAUGGAGGAGUUCUAAAGGAGACUAGGAACCUGGAGGGGGAAGGGGCUUGCUCCUGCCGAAGAGCUGCCUGUGUGUGUGGUUCCUGCGAGCCUCUCUCCAGCAGUGCUUCUUCACCCAGGAAGCGGCAGAACCCACUGCAGUUUUAGACUGGAUCCUGACUGAUGUAUCCUCACCCAGGGAAAGGUUUGGUUUUUCACUUCUCAGUUAUUAGAGAGAGAGAGUCAGCCAGCGAGAGAGAAAACACAAGCAGGGGGAGUGGGAGAGGAAGAAGCAG